CAGUGACAGACGAAUAAAAUCACAAUUUCAGCAUAACAAGUGUGCUGACGCUCUGCGUAGUGUUGGGUGAAAACCGUGAGGCACUUUGUUGAUGCUCCGUCAACAAUUUACUAAAAACAUGCGUCACGUUUGGAGGAUGACAAUAGUACAAAUUAAAAAAACAAACCGUUCAGUAUACAAAAACAACUCCUUAGUCCAAAUUCCACUCUUAGUCUAUCCAAAGGCAAACUCUCGUGUUUCAAAUGUACAGUCAAACGCUGCUCCAGACAUUAGAACACAUUUUAGCAUUAGCCACUAAUCGAUACACAAGAUACCUAUGAAACCAGUUGAUGAAGGGUUAGUUCACGCAAAAAUGUAAACGAUCAAGUUAUUUUCUCACACUAAAAGCAUCCCAGGAGCCUACAUGACAUUAUUCAUUUAGUCAAAUCCAGUCAAGAGUAAUAUUAAAAAUCCUCUUGGGCUUUUCCAGCUCUAUAAUGGCCAAUACUCCAAUAAAGUGCAUAAUCCAUUAUAAAAAAAGUACCUCACGCAGCUUUGGUAGAUGAAUAAACGACUUCUUGAGCAAAUCCAUGUGUUUUUGUUAGAGAGAUAUCCAUAUUUAAAACUUUAUAAACUGUUUUGUGUUUUAACUUCCAGCAUAAGUUGCCUUCUUCUGACGCUGAGCGCCAUCUGCUGGACAGGAGUCUUUUUUUUUUAUCUCUUAAGUGUGAAGCUGAACAAGCGCAAUGAAAAGAGACAAACAAAGCACACUCUUGUCCAGCUGAUGGCGCUUUGUAUACCAAAAAAUGCAUUUAAAUAGUAAAUUAAGACAGAAGUUUUUUUUUUUUAUGAACAAAACCAU
rnacentral:lncRNA from 1 species